rnacentral:tRNA from 1 species
GGGGCAUUAGCGCAGUGGGAGCGCAUCACACUGGCAGUGUGGGGGUCACGGGUUCAAGUCCCCUAUGCUCCACCA